rnacentral:lncRNA from 1 species
GAUGGUCUGAGCCUGGAGGGGGCAGCUCCUGCAGGGCCCAUCAUAUGAGCAAAACCUAUCCUCAAGUCUGUGUGACCAGGAAGUGGUACAGCCAGAACCUAGAAUGAGAUCUGUCCAACACAGGCUCAAGCUGCCCAAACUACACACAACUCCUUAGCACCCAGGUCAAGCUAAGGUAUGACAGACAAGCC